CAUUUGACGUUAGCUGCAGAAGAAGCACCGGCUAACUCCGUGCCAGCAGCCGCGGUAAUACGGAGGGUGCGAGCGUUAAUCGGAAUUACUGGGCGUAAAGCGCAUGCAGGUGGUUUGUUAAGUCAGAUGUGAAAGCCCGGGGCUCAACCUCGGAAUUGCAUUUGAAACUGGCAAACUAGAGUACUGUAGAGGGGGGUAGAAUUUCAGGUGUAGCGGUGAAAUGCGUAGAGAUCUGAAGGAAUACCGGUGGCGAAGGCGGCCCCCUCGGACAGAUACUGACACUCAGAUGCGAAAGCGUGGGGAGCAAACAGGAUUAGAUACCCUGGUAG
rnacentral:rRNA from 1 species